rnacentral:rRNA from 1 species
UACGGAGGUGGCGAGCGUUGUUCGGAGUUACUGGGCGUAAAGCGCACGUAGGCGGUGCGGUAAGUCAGGGGUUAAAGGCUGCAGCUCAACUGCAGUAAGGCCUUUGAUACUAUCGUGCUAGAGUGUCAGAGAGGAUGGCGGAAUUCCCGGUGUAGCGGUGAAAUGCGUAGAUAUAGGGAGGAACACCGGUUGCGAAGGCGGCUACCUGGCCGGUAACUGACGCUGAGGUGCGAGAGCGUGGGGAGCAAACAGG